rnacentral:rRNA from 1 species
UUCCCGGGCCUUGUACACACCGCCCGUCACACCACGAAAGUCGGCAAUACCCGAAGCCGGUGGCCUAACCCGCAAGGGAGGGGAGCCGUCGAAGGUAGGGUCGAUGAUUGGGGUG